rnacentral:rRNA from 1 species
UGAAAGCUGGCGUCUUCGGCGUCCGCAUUGUAAUCUCAAGAAGUGUUUUCCGCUUCGGACCAAGCCUAAGUCCCUUGGAAAAGGGCAUCAUAGAGGGUGAUAAUCCCGUACAUGGCUUGGAGCGCCCGAAGCUUUGUGAUACGCUUUCUAAGAGUCGAGUUGUUUGGGAAUGCAGCUCAAAAUGGGUGGUAAAUGCCAUCUAAGGCUAAAUAUUGGGGAGAGACCGAUAGCGAACAAGUACAGUGAUGGAAAGAUGAAAAGAACUUUGAAAAGAGAGUUAAACAGUACGUGAAAUUGCCAAAAGGGAAGGGUAGGAGGUCAGAGAUGCGGCCUGGGAUUCAGCCUUGCUUUUGCUUGGUGUUUUUCCCAGAUUGCAGGCCAACGUCGGUUUUGGGCACUGGAGAAGGGUAGGAGGAACGUGGCACCUCUCGGGGUGUGUUAUAGCCUCCUACUGGAUACAGCGACCGAGACCGAGGACAGCAGCGUACUCGCAAGAGCGGGCCUUCGGGCACCUUUACGCUUAGGGCGUUGGCAUAAUGGCCCUCUACCACC